UCCCAGGUGGUCUUGUGGUUAGGAUCUGGCAUUUUCACUGCUGUGGUCCAGGUUCAAUCCCUGGUCAAGGAA
rnacentral:tRNA from 1 species